GCUCAGUAAUAUCAUUUCAUUUUUUCAUCAUUUCAUCACUAUUCUCUUGAACAUCUGCAGAAACUGUUUCUCUUCUUUUCUUCUUAAUAUUAAAAUUCUCAUCAUAUUGAGUAAGCUCAUUUAUUUUCUUAUAGUGAUUUAUAAAGUUAUGAACUGCUGCUAAUGCAAAAACCAGAUCAAUUUGAGUUGUUAUAGAGAAUUCAUCUCAACAUCAAUUAUAGAUUUGAAAUCACCAUUUAAACAUCUCAAACACACACUCAAUUACAUCUCACAAGCUCACAUAGCAAAGAUUAUAUAGCUCUGA
rnacentral:sRNA from 2 species